CGCUGUGGCUGUGAAUGGAGUAAAGAGGAGGCCUCCUUGGGAACAGGGACUUGUUCUUAAGAGCCAAGUGGAGGCAAGUAUCCCUGAGGGCAGGAUAGGGGUGGAGCAGAGAAGGUUCCAGGCUUGACUCCCUUCUAGUGCUGACAGGGCCCAGUAGUUUCUGAAUGUGGAGACUGAGUUAGGCUAAAGGGUUUUGCAAUCUUGUUACUGAGUCCAGGGUCUCUGUCUCUUCCAUUGAGCAUGCGAGUGAAAAAGCUGUUUUAAAACUUCACAUUCAAAAAACUAAGAGCAUGGCAUCCAGCCCCAUCAUUUCAUGGCAAACAGAAGGAGGAAAACUAUGACAAACCUAGACAGCAUAUUAAAAAGUAGAGUCAUCAUUUUUUCAACAGAGGUCUGUAUAGUCAAAGCUAUGGUUUUUCCUGUUGCCAUGUAUGGAUGCAAGAGUUGAAGGCUAAGUGCUGAAGAAGUGAUGCCUUCAAAUUGUGGUGCUGAAGAUUCCUGAGAAUCGCUGGGACUGCAAGUAGAUCAAAUCAGUCAAGCCUAAGGAAAUCAACCCUGAAUAUUUAUUUAUUGGAAGGACUGAUGCUGAAGCUGAAGCUCCAGUUCUUGGCCACCUGAUGUGAAGGGCAGUAGAAAAGACCCUGAUGCUGGGAAAGAUUGAAGGCAAGAGAAGGGGCAGCAGAGUAUGAGAUGGUUAGAUAGCAUCACCAACUCAAUGGAUAUGAAUUUGAGCAAACUCCAGGAGAUAGUGAAGGAGAGGGAAGCAUGGCAUGCUGGAGUCCAUGGGGUUGCAGAGUUGGACAAGACUUAGCAACUGAACAACAUUAAGUUUCUUUUAGUGUAAGUUUCUUUCUUGAGUAACUACUACAUACUAGGGGCUUCUCAUAGGUCACCUUAUUUAGCUUAUUUAACUGAUUUAACAAUCACCUCAAGAGACAAGUCUUUAUGACUACUAUUUCAGAGAUAAGGAAGCCUCAACCUAAGAAGGUUGAGGAUCUUUCCGAAAGCCACACACCCAGUCAGGGAAAACUUGAACCACCUUUACUAUCACAAGGGGAAUCUUUCGCUUGAGAAAAGGAGUAUCUUUCAACUAGG
ensembl:lncRNA